AACGAACGCUGGCGGCAUGCCUAACACAUGCAAGUCGAACGAACCCUUCGGGGUUAGUGGCGCACGGGUGCGUAACGCGUGGGAAUCUGCCCUUAGCUUCGGAAUAACAGUUAGAAAUGACUGCUAAUACCGGAUGAUGUCUUCGGACCAAAGAUUUAUCGGCCAGGGAUGAGCCCGCGUAGGAUUAGGUAGUUGGUGAGGUAAAGGCUCACCAAGCCGACGAUCCUUAGCUGGUCUGAGAGGAUGAUCAGCCACACUGGGACUGAGACACGGCCCAGACUCCUACGGGAGGCAGCAGUGGGGAAUAUUGGACAAUGGGCGCAAGCCUGAUCCAGCAAUGCCGCGUGAGUGAUGAAGGCCUUCGGGUCGUAAAGCUCUUUUACCAGGGAUGAUAAUGACAGUACCUGGAGAAUAAGCUCCGGCUAACUCCGUGCCAGCCGCCGCAGUAA
rnacentral:rRNA from 1 species